GUUACGAGAAAGUUAUACAGAAAUGUGGUAUCGAAGAAUCCUGUUUGAAUCUUAGAAAUAGUUUAGGAUACAAGUGACAUGUCACUAGGAACUAUGUGAUCUAAACUCAUGAGUUGUGGUCUGAGUUCAUGAUAUAUGUGACACAUGUUUUGGCGUUUCGAGUACUGGUCUCGUAUAUAUUACCAAUGGCGGGGUAGUUUGACAUGUGUUGCGGAUACCUGACAGCCUGUGUGAGCAUACUCGUG
rnacentral:lncRNA from 1 species